rnacentral:rRNA from 1 species
AUUGAACGCUGGCGGCAUGCUUUACACAUGCAAGUCGAACGGCAGCGCGGGCUUCGGCCUGGCGGCGAGUGGCGAACGGGUGAGUAAUACAUCGGAACGUGCCCAGUAGUGGGGGAUAGCUCGGCGAAAGCCGGAUUAAUACCGCAUACGACCUGAGGGUGAAAGCGGGGGAUCUUCGGACCCAGCGCUAUUGGCGCGGCCGAUGGCAGAUUAGCUAGUUGGUUGGGUAAAGGCCUACCAAGGCGACGAUCUGUAGCUGGUCUGAGAGGACGACCAGCCACACUGGAACUGAGACACGGCCCAGACUCCUACGGGAGGCAGCAGUGGGGAAUUUUGGACAAUGGGCGAAAGCCUGAUCCAGCAAUGCCGCGUGUGUGAUGAAGGCCUUCGGGUUGUAAAGCACUUUUGGCGGGAACGAAAAGGACUGUGCCAAUACCACGGUUCGAUGACGGUACCCGCAGAAUAAGCACCGGCUAACUACGUG